CCUACGGGUGGCAGCAGUCGAGAAUCAUUCACAAUGGUGGGAACCCUGAUGGUGCGACGCCGCGUGGGGGAAUGAAGGUCUUCGGAUUGUAAACCCCUGUCGUGUGGGAACAAAUUCAAAAGCUCGUCCCCCAAGAGGACGAGCCGGCUAACUCUGUGCCAGCAGCCGCGGUCCUACAGAGGGCUCACGCGUUGUUCGGCAUCACUGGGCCUAAUGGGUGCGUAGGCUGUUUCGUAAGUCGAGUGUGAAAGGCGCGGGCUCAACCCGCGGACGGCACAUGAUACUGGGAGACUAGAGUUGUGGAGAGGGAACCGGAAUGCGCGGUGUAGCAGUGAAAUGCGUAGAUAUCGAGAGGAACACCAGUGGCGAAGGCGGCUUACUGGACUGAAACUGACGUUGAGGCACGAAAGCGUGGGGAGCAAACAGGAUUAGAUACCCCGGUAGUC
rnacentral:rRNA from 1 species